AGCACCGAGCAUGCCUUAGUACGGCGAGUGAAGCGGCAAAAGCUCAAAUUUGAAAUCUGGUACCUUCGGUGCCCGAGUUGUAAUUUGGAGAGGGCAACUUUGGGGCCGUUCCUUGUCUAUGUUCCUUGGAACAGGACGUCAUAGAGGGUGAGAAUCCCGUGUGGCGAGGAGUGCGGUUCUUUGUAAAGUGCCUUCGAAGAGUCGAGUUGUUUGGGAAUGCAGCUCUAAGUGGGUGGUAAAUUCCAUCUAAAGCUAAAUAUUGGCGAGAGACCGAUAGCGAACAAGUACAGUGAUGGAAAGAUGAAAAGAACUUUGAAAAGAGAGUGAAAAAGUACGUGAAAUUGUUGAAAGGGAAGGGCAUUUGAUCAGACAUGGUGUUUUGUGCCCUCUGCUCCUUGUGGGUAGGGGAAUCUCGCAUUUCACUGGGCCAGCAUCAGUUUUGGUGGCAGGAUAAAUCCAUAGGAAUGUAGCUUGCCUCGGUAAGUAUUAUAGCCUGUGGGAAUACUGCCAGCUGGGACUGAGGACUGCGACGUAAGUCAAGGAUGCUGGCAUAAUGGUUAUACAAAAGCCCGUCUAGAACCACGGACCCA
rnacentral:rRNA from 1 species